rnacentral:rRNA from 1 species
AUUGAACGCUGGCGGCAGGCCUAACACAUGCAAGUCGAACGGUAACAGGAAGCAGCUUGCUGCUUCGCUGACGAGUGGCGGACGGGUGAGUAAUGUCUGGGAAACUGCCUGAUGGAGGGGGAUAACUACUGGAAACGGUAGCUAAUACCGCAUAACGUCGCAAGACCAAAGAGGGGGACCUUCGGGCCUCUUGCCAUCGGAUGUGCCCAGAUGGGGUUAGCUAGUAGGUGGGGUAACGGCUCACCUAGGCGACGAUCCCUAGCUGGUCUGAGAGGAUGACCAGCCACACUGGAACUGGGACACGGUCCAGACUCCUACGGGAGGAAGCAGUGGGGAAUAUUGCACAAUGGGCGCAAGCCUGAUGCAGCCAUGCCGCGUGUAUGAAGAAGGCCUUCGGGUUGUAAAGUACUUUCAGCGGGGAGGAAGGCGAUAAGGUUAAUAACCUUGUCGAUUGACGUUACCCGCAGAAGAAGCACCGGCUAACUCCGUGCCAGCCGCCGCUGUAA